CUUUGUAUUUUCCCAUCAUUUCCCUGCUAGUAGUCCAAAAGAUAUUCAGAAUGGUAAAAGCUUCGUCUACCAAACAGGUGAAGAUGUCUGAAGGUGUUUUGGAAGGAGGAAAGGGGAUCCUUAUUUCUAUUUUGCAGCUGAGGAAGCAGAAGAAAGAAGAAGCAUUGCAACAUGUCUACCUUCAUGGGGAAGGUACUGGGGGAUUCAUGGAGAAAAAUCUGCUCCUGGCUCUCCAGCUAGCACUGUCCCCAGAACAGUUGGAUUUUGCUGGAGCUGAAUGACUGCUGAGUAGUGCAUUCACAACUAUGCACAAAAAAAUACAGUUCCUGAUUUGAUUCAGCUGCAUGCCUGCCCUUUUUUGUUAGUCUUAUUUCAAUCUAUGUUUUUUUCUGCAUAUGAAUGUUGGUGAAGAAAACUGAUAUAGAGGAAUACACAUAUUCAUGCAGGAAUAGGAGUAUGAAAAAGUGUACUCAUCUUCUGUUUAUUAUUCAUGAUUCACUAUUCAUCAUUCACUUUUUUCUCUAUUCAUAAAGUUUCAGGCAUCCAAUCAGGAGUGGAGACCAGGAUGAAUAAUGGAAAUACAUAGUUCACAGAUAAUACUCAGGCUGUAAUUUGUACUGGCAAAUGAUCUGAUGAACAUUUAUAAAUAACUGAAGCAUAGUAUUUUGGGGGCACAAAAGAUUUUACCCUCAAACAAGGCAGAAGAGAGAUGAACUUGUUCAUGGCUAAGGGCUCUAAACAAAUAACUUGAGCAGAUAGCAACGUCAUCCGAUAUAUCCUGACUUAUCACAAGAUCAAAGGCCAUUAAGCUAUGAAAACCACUUUGUUGUAUGAAAAGGCAUGUGUAUCAUUUUAAGUGUCAUCUUUCCCCAAAGACAUGGACCAGUAUCCACAACUGGACUGAGGAGAAUUCAGGCCAAGAUCCAACAAGCCCUAUGGAAACUUCACCUCUGCUGAAUAAGUGAUUCCUGCCAGAUUGCUUUUCUGAAGAAAAGAGCUUCAUGUCAUAUUCUACUGUCCUGAGAAUCAAGGGGAUUACCAUCUGUGGUGUGUACUCCACACCUAGUUGUCCAGGAAAGGGCUACUCUUCAUCUCCUCAGACACUAUGUUUGCUCCCAGAUGUUCAAUACUGCAACAUUUAUUCAGGAUCUAACGACUUUUGGAGGACAGCCCUAAGGACCUGAGAGGAAACA
rnacentral:lncRNA from 1 species